rnacentral:rRNA from 1 species
UACGUAGGGGGCAAGCGUUGUCCGGAUUUACUGGGCGUAAAGAGCGUGUAGGCGGCCACGCAGGUCCGUUGUGAAAACUGGAGGCUCAACUUCCAGCCGUCGACGGAAACCGUGUGGCUAGAGUCCGGAAGAGGAGAGUGGAAUUCCUGGUGUAGCGGUGAAAUGCGCAGAUAUCAGGAAGAACACCAAUGGCGAAGGCAGCUCUCUGGGACGGUACUGACGCUGAGACGCGAAAGCCAGGGGAGCGAACGGG